GACGAACGCUGGCGGCGUGCUUAACACAUGCAAGUCGAACGGAAAGGCCCUGCUUUUGUGGGGUGCUCGAGUGGCGAACGGGUGAGUAACACGUGAGUAACCUGCCCUUGACUUUGGGAUAACUUCAGGAAACUGGGGCUAAUAUCGGAUAGGAGCUCCUGCUGCAUGGUGGGGGUUGGAAAGUUUCGGCGGUUGGGGCUGGACUCGCGGCUUAUCAGCUUGUUGGUGAAGUAGUGGCUUACCAAGGCUUUGACGGGUAGCCGGCCUGGGAGGGUGACCGGCCACAUUGGGACUGAGAUACGGCCCAGACUCCUACGGGAGGCAGCAGUGGGGAAUAUUGCACAAUGGGCGGAAGCCUGAUGCAGCAACGCCGCGUGCGGGAUGACGGCCUUCGGGUUGUAAACCGCUUUCGCCUGUGACGAAGCGUGAGUGACGGUAAUGGGUAAAGAAGCACCGGCUAACUACGUG
rnacentral:rRNA from 1 species